rnacentral:rRNA from 1 species
AACGAACGCUGGCGGCGCGCUUAACACAUGCAAGUCGAACGAGAAGGCGUAGCAAUACGCUUGUACAGUGGCGAACGGGUGAGUAAUACGUGGGCGACCUACCCUCGAGUGGGGAAUAACCCGCCGAAAGGCGGGCUAAUGCCGCGUACGCUUCCAUCUUUAUGGAGGUGGAAGGAAAGCCGUGCCGUGGGCACGGCGCUCAAGGAUGGGCUCACGUCCUAUCAGCUUGUUGGAGGGUAACGGCCUACCAAGGCUCCGACGGGUAGCUGGUCUGAGAGGACGAUCAGCCACACUGGCACUGCGACACGGGCCAGACUCCUACGGGAGGCAGCAGUGAGGAAUAUUGCGCAAUGGGCG